rnacentral:rRNA from 1 species
AUACGGGGGGUGCAAGCGUUAAUCGGAAUUACUGGGCGUAAAGCGCGCGUAGGCGGUUUGCUCAGUCGGAUGUGAAAGCCCAGGGCUCAACCUUGGAACUGCAUACGAUACUGGCAAACUAGAGUGUGAGAGAGGAUAGUGGAAUUUCCGGUGUAGCGGUGAAAUGCGUAGAUAUCGGAAGGAACAUCAGUGGCGAAGGCGACUGUCUGGCUCAACACUGACGCUGAGGUGCGAAAGCGUGGGUAGCAAACAGAAUUAGAAACCCUUGUAGUCC